rnacentral:rRNA from 1 species
UACGUAGGGUGCAAGCGUUGUCCGGAAUUAUUGGGCGUAAAGAGCUCGUAGGCGGUUUGUCGCGUCGGCUGUGAAAACCUGGGGCUUAACUCUGGGCGUGCGGUCGAUACGGGCAUCACUAGAGUUCGGCAGGGGAGACUGGAAUUCCUGGUGUAGCGGUGAAAUGCGCAGAUAUCAGGAGGAACACCGGUGGCGAAGGCGGGUCUCUGGGCCGAUACUGACGCUGAGGAGCGAAAGCGUGGGGAGCGAACAGG